rnacentral:tRNA from 1 species
AGUUAAUUAGCUUAUUAAGCAUUUAUUUUGAAAGUAAAAGGAAAGAGGUUAACUCUAUUAACUU